rnacentral:rRNA from 1 species
AACGAACGCUGGCGGCAUGCCUAACACAUGCAAGUCGAACGAGACCUUCGGGUCUAGUGGCGCACGGGUGCGUAACGCGUGGGAAUCUGCCCUUGGGUUCGGAAUAACAGUUAGAAAUGACUGCUAAUACCGGAUAAUGUCUUCGGACCAAAGAUUUAUCGCCCAGGGAUGAGCCCGUGUAGGAUUAGCUAGUUGGUGAGGUAAAGGCUCACCAAGGCGACGAUCCUUAGCUGGUCUGAGAGGAUGAUCAGCCACACUGGGACUGAGACACGGCCCAGACUCCUACGGGAGGCAGCAGUGGGGAAUAUUGGACAAUGGGCGAAAGCCUGAUCCAGCAAUGCCGCGUGAGUGAUGAAGGCCUUAGGGUUGUAAAGCUCUUUUACCCGGGAUGAUAAUGACAGUACCGG